rnacentral:rRNA from 1 species
GAUACGUCUUCAGAGUUUGAUCCUGGCUCAGGAUGAACGCUAGCUACAGGCUUAACACAUGCAAGUCGAGGGGCAGCAUGAAUUAUUGGCUUGCCAAUUAUUUGAUGGCGACCGGCGCACGGGUGAGUAACGCGUAUCCAACCUGCCCGGUCUGCGGGGUAACCCGUCGAAAGACGGACUAAUACCGCAUGGGGGUUCCCUGAGGGCAUCUGACGGGAACUAAAGAUUGAUCGGACCGGGAUGGGGAUGCGUCUGAUUAGCUCGUUGGCGGGGUAACGGCCCACCAAGGCUACGAUCAGUAGGGGUUCUGAGAGGAAGGUCCCCCACAUAGGAACUGAGACACGGUCCUA